UUCAAAAAGACCAAAAAAUUCAAUGUUUGCGAGAUAAAGCAUGGCAUCCGUGUUAUUAUCAUGAGAUGCGGAUCUUAGCAACUCAAUUGCAUGGUUUCUUUGAAUAAUAAUCUCUUCAUACGUUACGUCUUCCUGCUCAUAAUAAUAUCUAAGAAUUUCCAAAGCCCGCUGAACUCUCACAGAUGGAGUUUCUGCGAAAUCGUAGUCGCUCAAUACCAUGGAUCCUAUGUUGUUGUCUACAUAUUGUUGUGCAUUCACGAUACGCAAUAAGGUAGACAAAGAAAGCAAAAAAAAUGCUAUGCUUAAGAUUCUUUUCAAAAAUAAACUAACGUGAAACGUCAGAACCGAAACCCCCAUAAUUUAAUAAUGAUAUGUACAAGUUAACAAUGACAGUUGUAACUGAAAACAGGGCAAAUUUACCCGCUUGAGACGAAUUUUACAGCAACAAAAGUGUAACGUUUUUAUUGAUAAAUUUACCGGAGCUUUUCUUUCAAUGACUUCCAACAACAAACGCGUCUAAACUAACAGUGGAACAAUGCAAGUGUAAGUUAUCACAAAAGCGAGAAAGGCAAAGCAUUCACAAAAUAUGAAAUGCUCAAAAUGGGAAAAUAAAAGCUUUUGUUAUUGUUAGCCCGCACCUUCAAAACAACUAUAACAAUGUAGGAUUGAAUGGCGGAAUAAAUCAGGCAACCAUACCAACUUGGAGUAA